rnacentral:rRNA from 1 species
AGUCUGGUGCCAGCAGCCGCGGUAAUUCCAGCUCCAAUAGCGUAUAUUAAAGUUGUUGCAGUUAAAAAGCUCGUAGUUGAAUUUCGGGAUCAGUAGGUUGGUCAUGCCUAUGGUAUGUACUGGCUUUACUGGUUCCUCCUUCUUGAUGAUCUGUGAUGUCAUUAAUUUGGUGUUGCAGGGAGUCAGGACUGUUACUUUGAAAAAAUUAGAGUGUUUAAAGCAGGCAAUCU